AUGUACAUUCCUACAACAUAGCGUUAAUGCACCGAAUCCCAUUAGAACUCCACAGUUAAGUGUUUUCGAGAUAGAUUAGUACUGGGAUGGGUGACAGAACGGGAAGUCCUAGUGUUUUACAUG
rfam:Picea glauca, whole genome shotgun sequence.